UCUACAUCCUUGUAGUUUCAAAUACUUAGAUUUUUUUUUUAUAGACAAUUGCUUUGAGCCUACUCUCACUCUAGUUUUUAGUGCACUUUCAUGCCCAUUAUCAUGUGUGAUAUUUACAAUGUUUCCAUAAGGUGUUGCUGUAUUCAUUCCUUAUGGGUCAGGAGUUUGGGGACCAGAGAUUCUUAGUAUUGUAUUGUUAUUGGCAUGAUGAAAGUACUUAUUGGGUUUAUCUGGGGUAUAGGAAGCACUGAAAUAUAAACCUGUUCAUACACAGUCAUUAAGAUAUUAACACCUUUUAAUAAGAGCACAGUAAAUGUUUCUCUGGCUCCCCAAGCCUUUUGAACCUGAGGGAAGAUGAAUUACAGCCAAGACUGAAGUGUGCUGGCUCCGGCCCCAGCUGUCCUCUCCUGUGAGUCUCCUGAAUUUAGUCCAGGUGGGUAGUGAACCAGAGUCAUUAGCUGCUGUUUCACAAACAAGGUGAAAUAAAUCAGGGUCCCAGCUCAGUCCUACAAAACAAGAGUCAAUUUCACCCUUCCUACCUCUGUUAGGCAGUCUCAGUGGUCAAAGAUUAAUUGGUACAAGAGAAGAGUGUUUAUUCCUUUCCCUCAAGUCAGAUGGGUGCUGAAGAGGAGGCUGGCUCCAUGUUGUAGCUCGGAGCAGAGGUCGUAGAGCUCAGAGGUGAAAACAAAGCUUUACGAUGAGGAUGCUGAGCGUCAGUUCUGCUCCGAGUACCAGCUUACCUUACCGCAGUGUUUCUCUGCAAGGACUGUGGGAAGGGUUGGGGAGAGUCAGGCACACCCCCUGGGUUGCAGUCUUUGCUGCUCCGCUGGCCAGCGUUGGGAGCCAGGGUGUGUUGCUUCAACCCUUGGAGCCUCAGCAUGGAGAAUUAUUGGGUAUAUGCAUGUAUUAAUGUUCUGCUGUAUAACACAUUGCCACCAAUUUAACACCCAUUUGUUACUCUCCAGUUUCUGUAGAUCAGAAAUCCAGGCACUGAGGGGUUGGCCUCUCUGCUAAGGGUUUCACAGGACUGUGUUGGCCAAGGACUACAGUUUUCAUCUGGCACUCAAGAUCUUCUUCAAAGCUCACAGCCUAUGGACAGAAUUCAUUUCCUUACAGAGGUUCUCCAGUCCAUUCCACAGAUGAGUAUCAAGUUAUAUUUCAAAAGCACACGUCUGCUUCUGCUUCUUGCCAGCUUUCAAUGACUCUCAACUGACGCCAUGAGAAAGGUCUGCCCACCCAGCUUCUGCCUCCACUACCUAGCUCUACAUGAAUCUCCAC
ensembl:lncRNA